AUGUUAGGAAGCCUGGAUUGUAUGCAUUGGCGUUGGGAAAAAUGUCCUAUUGCAUGGAAGGGCCAAUUUACUCGUGGUGAUAAAGGGUGGUCUAGUCUUAUUCUGGAGGCAGUUGCUUCGCAAGAUCUCCGGAUAUGGCAUGCCUGCUUUGGUAUUGCUGGGUCAAACAAUGACAUCAAUGUGCUAAAUCAAUCACCAUUGUUUAUCAAGCAACUGAAAGGCCAAGCUCCUCGAGUGAACUUUUUUGUAAAUGACAAGGAAUAUCAACAUGGUUGUUACCUUGUAGAUGGGAUAUACCCAGAAUGGGCAGCUUUUGUGAAGACAAUAUCGAUGCCACAAACAGAGAAGCACAAGUUGUUUGCUGCACAUCAAGAAGGGGCAAGGAAGGAUGUGGAACGUGCUUUUGGUGUUUUGCAGGGUCGAUUCUCUAUCUUGCGUCGUCCUGCACGUUUGUAUGACCGGGGUGAUAUCCAGAAGGUCAUGAUAGCUUGCAUCAUUCUUCACAAUAUGGUAGUCGAGGAUGAAAAAGAAGCGGCGGCUAAUAUUCUUGAUUUGAACAAGGAGGCAGGGACAUCAUUGUUCUAUCAUCAGUAUUCACACACGGCGACAUACCGGUAUUCGCCCAGGUGCUACAAAGGGAUGCAAGAAUCCGAGAUCGUGGGACUCACAGAGCACUCAAAACUGAUUUGGUAG
rnacentral:rRNA from 1 species